rnacentral:rRNA from 1 species
AUGUCUGAGAUCGCGCUGAUUCCCCUCUCCCCCUGCCCGCAGCCCUCCAGCAGGGGCGGCUCCACGGCGUUCAUAUGGGGCGCGUCGCCGCAGAUGAGGUGCGAGCGGAAGAAGGACCGCGUCGAGGUCAACCCCGAGCUGCUCGCCGCCGCGUCGGCGCAGGCCGAGGUAAUGACGGCCACCAUCGGGAAGACGACCCGGGUGAUCGGCUGGUACCACUCGCACCCGCAUAUCACUGUCCUGCCUUCCCAUGUAGAUGUGCGUACCCAGGCUAUGUUUCAGUUGCUAGAUCCAGGCUUUGUUGGGCUGAUAUUUUCCUGUUUUAGUGAAGAUGCUCAAAAGGUUGGGAAAAUCCAAGUGAUUGCCUUCCAGUCACUUGAUGGGACACAGAACACACAGCGUGCUAUUGUUCCUGUUAUUACCAAUCCAAUCGUUAACCUUGAAUCAUCUUGGAGUUCAUCCGAAAACUCAUUAGCAUUGAUUGAGGGCAUUGAACAGGACACUGGAGAUUCUAGAGCUUCAAACGGAAGCAAGGUCUGGGGAAGAUCUCAGGAUAUGGAUCUGUAUUCUCCUUUGGAUAUAAAUCAUUCGGCAAGACUACCAAUAGAAAACGCUAUUGUUCCUUUCGAACCUGAUAACAUUGCUGGACCCUCUGUUGAUCAAGAUGGUUCAGAUCUGUCCCCAAGCAUACAGGAGGCUUUGCACCGGUCAACCAUGGACAUAAGUGGUGCAGAGUAUAAAAGGAAGGAGGUGCCACUUAAAGUAUUCCCUACAAGGCAUCUGCUAAAGCUGGACACUACGUUGAGUUCUUACUGUGAUAUGCAACGUGUCCUUUUUGAAGAGGAACAAUCAGCAUAUAACCAAGCUAUGCUUCAGAAUAUUUGUGAUGGGAAGAUGCACCCACUUACAUCUAUGCACCACACCUCCACAUACAAUGCUUCUCUAUGCAAACUGAUGGAGUACUGCUUGACCCCAGCUAUAACUGUGCUUCAGGACCGUGUGAAAGAAAACGAACUUCGGUUGGCUAUGCUAGUGGAGGAGCAUAAACAACUGGAGGCCGAGCAGAGCACGAAAACUGGUUCUCCUCGCCGUCCGAUGCCCGGAGGGACUACCAGUGGCAUCACUUCGCCAAGGGGCCAGGACAAGUACCCUUCCGGCAGACAAGGGGGCCCUAUAAGCCCUAGCAGCAGCAGCCGGAGGAAGGCUCCUUGA